GCUUUCAUUGUUGUGAGAUGUACACGUUUUACCUCAUGUGUCUUGACUCUGAGAGCAGCUUCCAGUCGGGUUCAGCCUCGUCCUUGAAUCAGACUGGUUCACUGGGCCGUGGUUGUUUCAUGUUGCAUGUGAACAUCAGAACGUGGACUCUCUGGUCUACAAUGAGAACUAAUGUGGUGAUCCUGACUGAGGCCAUUUUCAUUUUGGCACCUACAGCAGCCGAGCCUCACCCCAUUAUCACAAGGUGCUAAUCCACUGGAUCCUGCUAACCACACACACACACACACACACUAACCCCUCCCUCCUCUGAGUUAAUUAGACUGCAGUCUGCUCAGAGGAGAGAGUUUUGGGAGCCAUCCGGGGCUGCACCGAGCGCCUGUUGUGGUGCUGCAAUGUUAAUAGUCCUGGAUUAGUGAGACAAUGGAGGUGGUGCUGGGAUCAAGCUGUGAGGAGGCAGCGUUCACAGAUGGGAUCAGCAUAGCUGUAGGGCUGCACACACACACAAAUCUACACACAAUGAUCAGCACUGACAGGUGAAGUGAAUAGUACGGUGGCUCUGAAGGUCAAAGCACAGCAACAUUUCACAAAACAAAACAAAACAAUUGUAGUGUUUUGUUACAUGUUGUUGAGGUGGUGACCUGAUCUGGAUCAGUGUAUUCAGUGUGUGUAGAUAUAUUCUUACGCUGCAGACACACUCUUCAUGUCAAAUAUCUGAUUCUGUGUGUGUGUGUGUUGAUCCUGGAACACACUGGUUCCAGUAACAGAUAAAGAGGAAGCAGAGCAGCCAGAGGGAGGAUGGACCUGAGGUGUGAUAGGUGACAUAUUAAGACACUGAACCAUCUCCUCUAAUGUACAAACACCUUCCCGUGUAUGUGUGGUUAAUGUGUAUCAGCCUGUUAUGGAGGAAAAUGAAACCUCAGCCUGUGAAUGUGUGAAAACAUUAACGUCAUGUUGUCAGAGAAAACACUGACGACUCUGAUUCUCUGUUUGUUGUGUCUCUGGCUCUCGGUGACGUGGGAUCUUGGCAGACACAGAGAUGUGGGAGGUUCAGUGUCUCCUUGAAUUUCCUGUUCUAAGAAGACGCUCAGAUACGCAUGUUGUUAUGCAAAUGGUGGCGUAACCUCAGUCAUGUGUUGAUUGACUGGGUGCAGGGUCGCACAGAUAAUCAGCUCACAUCAUAAAGUCUCUGAACGUCUUUGUAAUGACUGUGUUUAAUAUAAGAACAUUUUAGCUGAUGAAUGAGUGAGUCAUAUAUCAUUAGACACAGUCUGGUGUUUAUACUCAAAGCGUCUUUAAGGAAAGAGCCUCAGUUAAACUCACGUGUAGUUGUUUUCAUUCAUACUCUGCUUCCAUACACCAUCAUCGUCUUCGUCUUCCACACACGCAAACUCCACAUCAAAUCAAAAUGGCUGCCUCUGUGCAUGAAGAGGAAGAGCUGCUAAAAACAAGAAAAAAGAAAAAUACUUUGAAUAAUAUUUCAAUGUCCUUUAUUUGUAGCCUCUCAGUCAGUAUUGUAUCAAUGCCAAUAAGGAACUAGGUCAGAGCUCUCUGUGUUUGGAGGAGAUUUAUUCACAAACUGUGAGUCAUGUGACAAUGGGAGUCACACUGGGUGAGAGAGGACACAUUUCUCUACGUCUUCAUAUAGAAAGUGUCUGUGUAGGUUGGAAACUGUGGGAAUUAAAAGAGGUUUGAAUCAGAUUUUUAUGGUAAAAUGUUCAGAGGUGGCAGUUAGAGUGAUGAUGUCACACAUUCUAGAACAGAACAUUCAGCGCAACACACACCCAUUAUAAACUCUGACACUGUAAAACAACAAAUGUCAAAUUUAAACUGUGAUUUAAUAAAAACUAUAACAUCUAUCAACAUGAAGAUUUAACCUGAAGAAGUCUCAGGUCUUGUGACCUGUUUAAAGUUUCAACCAUGUUCCUGUGUGAAAGUAAAAUGUGGCUCCAAAGAGGAGUGGGUUUGAUCAUUUUUGAAAGACUUCCCAUUCAUUUUCAACGGGAGAUUUUUUGUAGUUUUUUAUGAUUUACCUCAUUAAACCAUUUUUUGUUGAUAAACGAACAGACAGUAAAACCCCAGCUGUGAUCUGAGGUGUUCCUUUGUCUUCAGUUCAAGCGUCUUCUCACAUCGACCUCUAACAGAGCAGAUCAUCACACAUUUAGAAAGAAAAGCAGACAGACAGAUUUCAUCCUCCUGCUCUGUAACAUGUAUCUGUCUGUAAAUGCAACAUGGCCUUUACUCGACUUCUCCUUGACAAAAUGCAGGACCAUUCUUAAUAGAUGCAGCUGCCACAACAGGCUGUUAUGCAAUCAUUAGUCAGCCUGGUCCACAUUAUCCUGUCAUUUAGUUUCUCACACAGACACCUCAGAUUCUCUUCCUGCAGAGACACUGGCACACUGGUGCUUUAAAGCCCUGAGGAUGUUGAACACCAGUGUACAGAGGAGAGGACAAUGGAGGAGGUGUAAACAGGAGGCUGAGACGGAGAAGAAAGAGGAGGCCAGAUGGGAAGUUGUUGACAUCCAGUUGCACAGUAACUCGCUGACCUCCAGUUCAGCCGCUCAGCUUCACCACACCCUCUUCACUAAGCCUGAGUUUUAGUGAAGUUCCGGAGGACAAUUCCCUCAACAUCCGCAUCGCGUUGCUCCUCACAUGGGACCACCCAGCGAGCCUAAUCUGGGGUAGCAGACAUGUUUGUCUGAACAAUGUCAAGGCAGGUUUGCUUUCUUAGCCUCGGCUGUUCCCUGCACACACACAGCUCAGACAGGCCGGGCUUCCUCUGCUGUUAAUUACGGCCACAGCUUGCAUGGAGGCAUAUCAUUAGCAGUAAUUGCACACAGCAUCCCACUGCCAUGUGCCUCGCUUUUUCUUUUCUGUCCCAGAUUUACGCUGCACUGAUCCAUGAAGGACCAGCGACCAGGGGAGGACUGAUGCAACUCCAUGUGUUCACAUCUAUCAACAGGAGGAAAUCAGGAGUCUGAGAACGGGCACAACGGUUCCAUGUCAGUUCCAGGAAAUACAGGGAUUACUGAGCGGCAGUGUUUGUUGUGUUGCUGAAAAUUAAGUCAGCACUGUCUGAGAAAAUGGACGCCAUCAGGUUUCGUGCAGUUCGUCCAACAACAAUCGAAUGCCUCAGACUAAUGGUGCGUUCAAUUCACAUUGGAGGUUGGAACUGGGACUGUCCAGCUGAGAAGUUGGACGCUCACAGGAAAGUCUUUGUUGUUCGGUGCUCUGUGUAGAGUGUUCACUACUACUGAUGUGAGCAGCAGCCAUCUUGAAUUCUUAUAUCAGGGUUGGUGGAGUUGCUCCAACUUUCUGAGUUGGAAAUCUGACUUCAUGGGGCGUUCAGGUUCAAACUUCUGAGCAGGAACUUGGAAACUCAGACUUCUGAGUACACCUGGAAUGUAGCAUGAUACCUCCUCCCUGGGGUGAAGAAGGUUGGUGUUUGUUGGUGACAGAGCAGUCCAAGAUAAACUGAACAUGUCCUGCAGCUGAUCUGUCUCCACCUCAGAGGAGAACCAGGACUCAUUAAAAGCACCAGGUGGAAAUGUAAAGGAAAGAUGGGAUCAUUUAUCACCUGGAUAAAGUGUCUGGAUGCAGAUCAGAGUUUAACUCCAGGUGUACAUGAGGUCAAAGAGUCAAACAUUUCUGUUUCAUCUCCUUCUUCCUCAGGCCACAAACAGAUCAAUCAGCCUUUGUACUGAUCUCUGCUCAGGUUUAGACCAUGUUGUCUGAUGUAUAUUCACUGACUCUCCAAAUGCUACUGGAUGAAAAAGGGAUCUUAUCUCAGAAUCUCAGAUCAUACUGGAACAUACAAAAUGCUCAUUGUGAAUAAAGUGGAGCAGACAUGAUUUGUUGGCUCCACUUCAAUAAAAACAGCCUCGAGCAUCGACGAACCUCCACAGCGGUCACUGCUGCUUCGCCUGCAGCUCUCCCAGUAAACACACUCUCUUUGUUUCUCUCAUUGUGAGUGUUCAGAAAUGUGGAGUGCCUCCCCCCCUCCCCUCCCUCACCCUCACCUGCACACUGUGGCAGAUCGACACCAAGCAACAGCCGCCGAGCCAAACCGGGCCUCAGAUGGCGAGGACCUGGCCUGUGGGAGGAACAGACUUAACACAAACUAGAAAAACCAACACAGCUGCAAUAAACACACAGAGACAGGAGCAGACCAGUUUAUCUGAACUGUAAGCCAGAGCUCUAACACCGACCUUUAACACGUGAACGUGUUAAUGUGAAAACCAGACGAUGAUAUGAAUAAAUACUUUCUAAAGCCACAGACAAGUGACUCAGCUGGGCUUCACUGCACUCUCUUUCCUCUCCUGCAGCUGAACGCAGAAAUAACAGGUUUUUAAUCAUUUCAUUUUCCUUUUUUGUAAAACAAUGGCAGUGUGACAUCCAGGAAGUGAGACAGAGCAGCAGAGGAACAGCUUCUAACUAUGGCAUCAACAGAACUGAUUUACUGGUAAUCAAUUACCCUGUUAGCAGAUGUACAGUAUUAUGACUCUAUACUCUACUCAAGUGUUUACUAUUUUUAAAAACAGAUUAAGUAUUAAAAUGUUCAUUUCAUUAAUAUUAA